UUCGUCCAGCGAGGUCCGACGGAACCGAGGUCGGUCUCCGUGUCGAAGGGUGGAAGUGGAGUAGCGUGUGCAGCCAUGUUCUUGUCUCUUAAGCUCCGGGUAGGGCAACUUUCUUCGUCUUGCUUUGGUUGUAACCUUUACUCUCGUCGCCAAUGUAAUGUUUGCAUGCCUCAAACAUUAAUGAUCACACCUUCAGUAAUUCUCAGUUCCAUUCUUUUAUUCUCAGGCUUGCAGCGAUAACACAGUCUGCAGCGCUAACUUGUUCAUUUUUUUCGUUUCCUGUUCGACCUUUCAAAAUAAAACAUCUGUAAACAUCAUAGACCUUGUCACAUGUGAGCCACCCACAUCAACAGGAUGGGAACUCAUGUGGAGUGCAUGUCAUAAUGGUACUGAAAACUAUAGCUUUAACCUAUAUAAGUAAUGUUUACAUUUUUGCCUAUUCAGUUUUUAAAGCCUUAGAGGCAGGAUGGUAAAAUCUCAAUUUUUUUUGUAGAUUGAACCAUUUCAGCAGUAAUGCUUUGCUUUGGUUGCUCUGUUUUUUUUUUUUCUUGGGGGGGGGGUUAAAAACAAACAAACAUUUCUUUGUUAAUCUAAUUCUUUUCUAAUCAGUUCUUUUUUUCUUUUUUUUCUUCGUCAAUUAUUAGUUUGCCCAAUCUCUCAUUGACGGUAAAACACAAGUGGAGGAGUACAACACUGAAAUCACAAAGCUCAGGUCCCGACUUUGCCACUACUUAUUUUCCUCAAUAGGUAAAGAUAAAAUUAGCUGCCUUCUUUUUCUCUAACAUUGGAAAAUGUAACUUGUACUGAAACAAAUUAUAUUUUGCAGAUCGAACUAGGAAGUGCAGUCAGUGCUGGUGUGUGAUUGCAGCCAAAGACCGGGUACACUAUGACAUGUCCUUAGCCAUAUAGAUUGUUUAUUUAAUGGACUUUGUUCAUUUGUUUUUUGUUUGUUUAUUUCUUCUUCUUCUUUUUUUUUUAAUUCACAGGUGCAGUGCCAGAAAUGUGGUGCAUACAAGCACAUGCGUUGUUCAAAGUCUGUUUGUGGCAUCUGUAUCUUCUGUGAGAGUAAGUCACAAUAUAACUAAAUGUAACCUGGACGUGUGUCCCUCUAUCUAUAAAGAGAUGAUCUAUACUGCUCGCCCAAGUGCAAUGUCUACAAUAUCCGAAUCUAGGUUUGGGAAGGAGAUUGGCGGUAGCAACUCUGUAAGAGCAAUGAGACUUCCAACCCACAUAACACGCACGACCACAGGUUUAUGAAACAAAGUUUGCUUUAUAUAUUUCCUUUUGGAUCAGUUCCCUUUGCUCAUCCUCAAUGUAGGGAUACCUUCAAAUGCAGUAACCAUCUCAAAUGCAUCACAAAAAUAAUUGAAACAAUCAAAAUAGAUGUAAGACAAGAAACACAAUAUUUCAACACCCCAAAGAAAAGGAAAAAGAAAAGAAAAUAGCAUGUGAGUGUCCAGUUCCUUAUGGUGUCAGUUUAUUCAGUUACCCACUGUCCUGGGUUAAGAACUGAAAACGACCUGAAUCUCAGGCGGAGAAAAAGUAGCAAAGAAAAUGAUAAGGUAUCUCUCAGGUGGGCUUCCUUUUGUUUUUUCCCUACCGCCCUCCUGGUACGGCAGGCAUCAACGUGUCGGCGUCCUGACACAGAGAAGGCCUCCACAGCAGCAACAGUGUCUUAGACCCACGAUACCAGCUCCUCACUUGGCACCCAUGGAACUGUACCUCAAAAAAAAAACCAGUCUGCACACAAAUACGCAGAAUGUUAGAUGUCCACAUUCCUUAAAUGUCCUUGUUCCUAAUGUCCUUGGUUCUUUUGAAAUAUUAAAAUAAAUCUGCAUCUUGUGACACAUUAAAAGUAAA
ensembl:lncRNA